UACGUAGGGUGCAAGCGUUGUCCGGAAUCAUUGGGCGUAAAGCGCGCGUAGGCGGCCUCAUAAGUCCGUUGUGAAAGUCAAAGGCUCAACCUUUGAAAGCCGAUGGAUACUGUGAGGCUAGAGUCCGGAAGAGGCGAGUGGAAUUCCUGGUGUAGCGGUGGAAUGCGCAGAUAUCAGGAGGAACACCAAUAGCGAAGGCAGCUCCGCUGGGACGGUACUGACGCUAAGGCGCGAAAGCGUGGGGAGCGAACAGG
rnacentral:rRNA from 1 species